rnacentral:tRNA from 1 species
UCCCUGGUGGCUCAAAUUUAAAGCACCUGCCUGCAACGUGGGAGACCUGGGUUCGAUCCUUGGCUUGGGAA